rnacentral:rRNA from 1 species
GAUGAACGCUGGCGGCGUGCCUAAUACAUGCAAGUCGAGCGAACAGACGAGGAGCUUGCUCCUCUGACGUUAGCGGCGGACGGGUGAGUAACACGUGGAUAACCUACCUAUAAGACUGGGAUAACUUCGGGAAACCGGAGCUAAUACCGGAUAAUAUAUUGAACCGCAUGGUUCAAUAGUGAAAGACGGUUUUGCUGUCACUUAUAGAUGGAUCCGCGCCGCAUUAGCUAGUUGGUAAGGUAACGGCUUACCAAGGCGACGAUGCGUAGCCGACCUGAGAGGGUGAUCUGCCACACUGGAACGGAGACACGGUCCAGACUCCUACGGGAGGCAGCAGUAGGGAAUCUUCCGCAAUGGGCGAAGGCCUGACGGAGCAACGCCGCGUGAGUGAUGAAGGUCUUCGGAUCGUAAAACUCUGUUAUUAGGGAAGAACAAAUGUGUAAGUAACUAUGCACGUCUUGACGGUACCUAAUCAGAAAGCCACGGCUAACUACGUG